rnacentral:rRNA from 1 species
CUACCCUUGACAUGGCAGGAAUCCCGAAGAGAUUUGGGAGUGCUCGCAAGAGAACCUGCACACAGGUGCUGCAUGGCUGUCGUCAGCUCGUGUCGUGAGAUGUUGGGUUAAGUCCCGCAACGAGCGCAACCCUUGUCAUUAGUUGCUACGAAAGGGCACUCUAAUGAGACUGCCGGUGACAAACCGGAGGAAGGUGGGGAUGACGUCAAGUCCUCAUGGCCCUUAUGGGUAGGGCUUCACACGUCACACAAUGGUACAUACAGAGGGCCGCCAACCCGCGAGGGGGAGCUAAUCCCAGAAAGUGUAUCGUAGUCCGGAUUGUAGUCUGCAACUCGACUACAUGAAGUUGGAAUCGCUAGUAAUCGCGGAUCAGCAUGUCGCGGUGAAUA